rnacentral:rRNA from 1 species
AUUAACGCUGGCGGCGUGCCUAACACAUGCAAGUCGAGCGGCAGCGAGUUUUACACUGAAUUCUGGAAGCUUCUAGUUGAAAGAGAAGAUUUAUUCAAGAAUUUUGUGUAAAAUGUCGGCGAGCGGCGGACGGCUGAGUAACGCGUGGGAACGUACCCCAAAGUGAGGGAUAACGCAUCGAAAGGUGUGCUAAUACCGCAUAUGGUCUUCGGAUUAAAGCCUUCGGGCGCUUUGGGAACGGCCUGCGUAAGAUUAGAUAGUUGGUGGGGUAAUGGCCUACCAAGUCGACGAUCUUUAACUGGUUUGAGAGGAUGAUCGGUCAGACUGGAACUGAGACACGGUCCAGACUCCUACGGGAGGCAGCAGUGAGGAAUCUUCCACAAUGGGCGAAAGCCUGAUGGAGCAACGCCGCGUGCAGGAUGAAGGCCUUCGGGUUGUAAACUGCUUCUAUAAGUGAGGAUUAUGACAGUAACUUAUGAAUAAGGAUCGGCUAACUACGUG